rnacentral:rRNA from 1 species
AACGAUGAUUGCUAGGUGUGGGGAGUCGACUCCCUCCGGCCGGAGUAAACGCAAUAAGCAAUCCACCUGGGGAGUACGACCGCAAGGUUGAAACUCAAGGAAUUGACGGGGGCCCGCACAAGCAGUGGAGUAUGUGGUUUAAUUCGAAGCAACGCGAAAACCUUACCAGGUCUUGACAUCCAACUAACGAAGUAGAGAUACAUUAGGUGCCCUUCGGGAAAGUUGAGACAGGUGGUGCAUGGUUGUCGUCAGCUCGUGUCGUGAGAUGUUGGGUUAAGCCCGCAACGAGCGCAACCCUUGUCAUUAGUUGCUACGCAAGAGCACUCUAAUGAGACUGCGUUGACAAAACGGAGGAAGGUGGGGACGACGUCAAAUCAUCAUGCCCCUUAUGACCUGGGUACACACGUACUACAAUGGUCGUUAACAGAGGGAAGCAAUCCCGCGAGGAGGAGCAAACCCUAAAAACGAUCCCAGUUCAGAUUGUAGGCUGCAACUCGCCUAUAUGAAGUUGGAAUUGCAGUAAUCGCGGAUCAGCAUGCCGCGGUGAAUACGUUCCCGGGCCUUGUACACACCGCCCU